GACGAACGCUGGCGGCGUGCUUCACACAUGCAAGUCGAGCGGUAAGGCUCCUUCGGGAGUACACGAGCGGCGAACGGGUGAGUAACACGUGAGCAAUCUGCCCUUCCCAUCGGUAUAAGCGUGGGAAACCGCGUCUAAUGCCGAAUACGACCUCCUUUCGCAUGAUCGGCGGUGGAAAGCCCCGGCGGAGAAGGAUGAGCCCGCGGCCUCUCAGCUAGUUGGGGAGGUAACGGCGCACCAAGGCGACGACGGGUAGCCGGCCCGAGAGGGUGACCGGCCACACUGGGACUGAGACACGGCCCAGACUCCGACGGGAGGCAGCAGUGGGGAAUAUUGGACAAUGGGCGAAAGCCUGAUCCAGCAACGCCGCGUGAGGGAUGACGGCCUUCGGGUUGUAAACCUCUUUCAGCAGGGACGAAGCGAAAGUGACGGUACCUGCAGAAGAAGGACCGGCCAACUACGUGCCAGCCGCCGCAGUAAGAC
rnacentral:rRNA from 1 species